rnacentral:snRNA from 1 species
GUGUUCACUUUGGCAGCACAUAUACUAAAAUUGGAAUGAUACAGAGAAAAUUAGCAUGGCCCCUGUGCAAGGAUGACACACAAAAUUGUGAAGCAUUCAAUAUUUUA